UGGUCAUGGGGAUGCAGAGGAGGGGCACUGGGUACAGCAGAGGGCUGGCACCCUCCCUAGGUGGAAUCUAGGUCGUGUGUAAAGUGCUAGGUCUGCCCAGCAAUGCUGGAUUCAAUACAACUUCUCAGAUCCUCUUCCCAGUAGCCCUCCAGGGUGACCUGACUCACCUACCCUACAGGUGGAGGCAAGGAGGUUCCUCAGACAAACCCCCUGC
rnacentral:lncRNA from 1 species